CCAGAUCAAAUGGGUCAAUUGGCUCCACUUCCAGAAAGGUCUUGACACUUCUUGAAUUGUCAGGCUAAGACCUGAAGAAGGAGGAACCCCUGGAUUCCUGAGUCAAGGUGGACACAGGCAUCAGCCAAGCCUCUUCAGAUAUACUGUGUACAACUUUGAUUUGGAGAAGAGCCUGCAGAAUACCGAGUUCUGGAGAGGGUCACAGAGAUAUGUGUUCUGCAGAGCCAGAGGCUGUGGUGGCCCAGUGGCUGUUCUGCUGGAUGGUGACAGCAGAGUCUCUCCUGGGUCAACAAUCAGGCUACCAGGCCUACCUGACAGCUUCCACCAUGUAUUCUGCAAAAUAAACAAUAUAGUUCAUGGAAUACAAUUGGCCUCACUGUUGUUUGCAACCAAGAACUCAGUAACUGAAUUGAAGAUUUUAUAGUCACAUUUUAAAAAGCAAAGAACAUAUGUAUCUAGCCCUUACCAAAAAAAAAAAAAAAAAAAAAGUAAAUGUGCUUGUCCUUAUUUUAAAAUAAUAAAAACAGAAUCUCUGAAAAGUGUGGUAAUGUACCAAGCUAUUUAAUACACCCAAAUCAAAACUAACACUA
rnacentral:lncRNA from 1 species